UACGGAGGGUGCAAGCGUUAGUCGGAAUUACUGGGCGUAAAGCGUGCGCAGGCGGUUUGUUAAGUCCGCUGUGAAAUCCCCGAGCUCAACUUGGGAAUUGCAGUGGAUACUGGCAAGCUGGAGUAUGGUAGAGGAAGGUGGAAUUCCCGGUGUAGCAGUGAAAUGCGUAGAGAUCGGGAGGAACACCAGUGGCGAAGGCGGCCUUCUGGACCAAUACUGACGCUCAUGCACGAAAGCGUGGGAGCAAACAGG
rnacentral:rRNA from 1 species